rnacentral:rRNA from 1 species
AACAUCGCCUCCUGCAAAAAUCAACGUAUAGGAGGUCCUGCCUGCCCAGUGACAACUUGUUAAACGGCCGCGGUAUUUUGACCGUGCUAAGGUAGCGCAAUCACUUGUCUUUUAAAUGAAGACCUGUAUGAAUGGUGGAACGAGGGCUUAACUGUCUCCCUUCUCCCGUCAAUGAAAUUGAUCUGCCCGUGCAGAAGCGGACAUACAUAUACAAGACGAGAAGACCCUUUGGAGCUUAUUGGGGCGACCGCGGGGGAAAAUAAAGCCCCCACGUAAAACCGAGAGAGACAUCUCUAAGCCACAGAACAUCUGACCAAAAGAUCCGGCCCACAAGCCGAUCAACGAACCAAGUUACCCUAGGGAUAACAGCGCAAUCCUUUCCAAGAGUUCAUAUCGACGAAAGGGUUUACGACCUCGAUGUUGGAUCAGGACAUCCUAAUGGUGCAGCCGCUAUUAAGGGUUCGUUUGUUCAACGAUUAAAGUCCUACGUGAU